UACGGAGGGGGCGAGCGUUAUUCGGAAUUAUUGGGCGUAAAGAGCGUGUAGGCGGCCAGACAGGUCCGUUGUGAAAACUCGAGGCUCAACCUCGAGACGCCGAUGGAAACCGUCUGGCUAGAGUCCGGAAGAGGAGAGUGGAAUUCCUGGUGUAGCGGUGAAAUGCGCAGAUAUCAGGAAGAACACCCGUGGCUAAGGCGGCUCUCUAGUACGGUACUGACGCUGAGACGCGAAAGCGUGGGGAGCAAACAGG
rnacentral:rRNA from 1 species